rnacentral:snRNA from 1 species
GGAUAUGAGGGUGAUGGAGUUGGCUAGGCUAGUGACCCCCUCAUUCCUCAAAACUCCCUGUGUGUCUCUAUGGAAGCUGCAUGCUUGGUCAAAGAGGACAACCUUCCCUAAAUAGAGAAUGGUCUUCAGUCAAGGGAUUACAUGUAGCUAUGCUCCCCUGCUAGAACCUGUAACAGACUCUCCAAGAGGUAAACUUGCAUGCAUUUGGCACAGACAAAACCUGCAAGGCUAACUGUGAUUUCUAUCUGCUGUUGUUU